GCAGUUCCUCUGUCUGCCUUCACAACAGUCCAACCAGACCAAGGGAGUGCUGUGAGCCGUGACAAGGUCAGAGGUCGUCUCGUCUACUAGCCGCUGUCAGAACUAACAGCUAACAGAGGAUCAGAGUCUGAACUGCGUCGAUGCCCAUACUCAUACGCUGGCUUCGGAAGCUUUUCUCACGGCGAAGGCGAUGCCGGUGUGGUCUGUUCAGAUCUCCUGUUCCAGCCUGAUAUCUCCCUGAAUGUCUCAACGGAAGGGGUGUCCAGGGGCUACCCGGGGCCCGAGCUGUAAUUGGGCCACAGCUUCACCAUCACCUGCUCCACUCAGCCACAGUACCCAGGAGGCUCCUUCCUCCUCACGUUCACCGGCUCCAACAGAACCCAGACCCAGCCAGCUGUCAAUCACUCUUCUGCCUUCCUCUUCCCUGCUGCAGAUGACUCCCACCAAGGAAACUACUGCUGUGUUUACAAGAAUUAUGUUUUCUCUCAUAACUUCUCCUCUGAGAGUGAGCUCCUCUCUCUAACCGUAACAGCCUCUCCUCUGCCAGCUGUCAUCAUCAGACUGGUCAUAGUGCUGCUGACCACCACAGCUACGUUUCUGCUCUGCAAGUCAAGAGUCAGGUCAGUAGGUGUCAACAGAGAGCUGGAUAGCAGUGCGUGGAGGGGUUGCCCCUGCAUCCCAGGAGGGAGGGCUGCCCAGAGGACAGGAGGAAGAGGACAAGCAGGAGGCAAGUCUUUGAACACACUGCCCAAGAUCAGGUUACACACACACACACAUCUUCAGAAUAAGCUACUUAAGACAUAGGUAAUUUCCACUGACUAAUUUCUGAGUAAUUUCCACAAAAUGAGGAAGUGGACAUUAGUCAGGGUGGGGGGGUUGGGGGUGGGGGGGGUGAUUCAUUUCUAACCUUUUAAUAUCUCUCCAGUUUGCCCACAUAUACACAGAUUUUCAGAAUAAUCAAUGUAAAGAUAUAGGUAAUUUCCACAGUUCUGAGUACAGUAUGUCCUGAGUCAUUUCCUGUAUAUAAAACCCUGAUCAGAUACUAGCUGGGACUGGUGGGGGUGUGAGAAAGAAAGGUGGAGUAGAGAAAAUGUAUAUGAUGGAGAAAAAAAUGAUACGUGAUUUUAAUUUCAUAUUUUGGCAUCUUUCUCAUUGAUAUUUACUCAUAACUCUUUUCUUGAAUUACAGAUUUGUACACAUGUUGCAGUUUAGUGCUGCUUUGCAUAAUUAAUGUAUCCUAUAUCCCAUAACCUGUGUUUUUACGAAUUUAUGGUUGUGUCGCAAAUGUCACCCUAUUUUGACCAGUGCCCUAUAGUGCAGUAUGUAUGGAAAGUGCACUAAAUCAAAAAUUGAUUGAUGUAGAAAAUAAUUAAUGCUUGUGUAAAUA